UGGGGGAUAUUGCACAAUGGGGGAAACCCUGAUGCAGCGACGCCGCGUGGGUGAAGAAGCGCCUCGGCGCGUAAAGCCCUGUCAGCAGGGAAGAAAAUGACGGUACCUGAACGAAGAAGCCCCGGCUAACUACGUCGCC
rnacentral:rRNA from 1 species